rnacentral:lncRNA from 1 species
GCCAGCCCCAGGACUGUCACCUGGCAGGAGGCUGGGCAGUUGGAAGUCCUUAACUAUGAUGAAUGAACAACCGGGUGACCUUCUUCAAUGGGGGCUCAAGCCAGGAAGGGUGGCCCCAGCAAUCUACGGCUGAAGCUGCCACACACUGGCCUGGUCUGGGUGAGCCAAUGGAGCCCCAGGUGGAUUGGUAAGGUAUGUGGGACAGCUCCUGCCUGAACAGGUAAAAGCAUUGUUUUCACGUGUUACCAUUACCUUUAGUUAUAUACCGAGAGGCUUCCCUCUCCUCAUAAGCUGUGUGACCUUGGACAAAAUACCACUCCAUGCCUCGGUACCUCUGCUGAAAAACUGGCACAGUGUCAUAUGUACAGGGCUGCGUGAAAACACUUAGAAUAGCCCCUGGCACAUAGUUUAGUCCUCCAGCCUGGCCUAACAUACGUUCUGAGAAUUUCCUCUGGGCAAAGCAACAAGAAUACUCACUGGGGCUCAAAUGGAAGAUACAGGCUUACACAGGCAGUCUCAUCAGUUUGAUGCAUUUGUUACAUCACUCACUCCUAGUGUUACCUCUGUCCAGGACAAGGAGCCCAGACUGACUGCAAACUGAGUUCUCACCACUGCUUGUCCUUCUUCAACACCUGACCAGGAGGGUCUGCCCACAGCGGCCCUGAAGGCCCCAACUCCAGGCAGUGAGAUCGAGAGACCAGCUGCAGCUGUGAUUCCUGGGGCUAUCCAUUGUUAUUUCAGAAGUUCCUGGCAGUCUUUCAGGGGGUGCUGUGAUGAAUGAGUACUUUCUUCUUCCCGACUGUCAUCAAAGGCACACACCAUAGAGCCCAGGGGGUGUGUGGCAAGGGGGACUCAGAGCUGGCAGUAACCAGCAGGCUCGCUAUAGUCACAGAGGCAGGAAGUGAGGCACAAGGGUCUUCCGAGUGCACCCAGAAUUGCAGCACCAAGCGAGAACCUGAAAACCCACCUUAUAGUUCAAAAUGACUCUUUCAUACUCUCUGCUCACAACUUGUAGUCAGUGCUUUCUGGUGACAGCAGAGGAGAUGGAAGCUGUGUCCAGAUGCAGAACCUGCCUACUGUCCUGGGUUCGGAUGGAUGGCACACACCCCGCCUGAAUGACCCCAUGGUGGGCACAGUUCAGGGACUGCUUUUGAUGUCAUCUUUAGCUGGUAUUCAACCCAGAGCAUAAGAGUUCCUGUAUCCUGUACGGUUUCUGAUCUGAGGUACUUAUCCCAGGUCUGGGGCUUCCUCAUUGAUCCUGAGGAAACCAUCUCUCAUCACCUAGGCCCACCAACACUGAACCCCUCUCCCACUAUGCUCAGAAUUCUUGGUGAAUAUAGGAAAUUGGAACAAAUAAAAUGUCUAAUAUCUACUUUCUUUUCUACUUCAUUGAUUUUUGUUUUUGUCUGUGUUUCUUCCCUCUAAUUUGCUCUGGCUUUGAUACUAUUUAUUUUCUCAUUUCUUGAGCUAGA